UUGCUUUUCCGUUAGGUGAGGCUCCUAUAUGAACAGACGCUGCUACUCAGAAACAUCGAGAGAUGCCAAUUGAGUCAACAGAAAUUGCCAAUUAAGGCUCUUUCUAACGUAGCUGAACAAGGUUUCUACGUCAUAUAGUGCUAAAACUGAACGAUUGGGAACGCCA
rfam:Lactobacillus fuchuensis DSM 14340 = JCM 11249 strain DSM 14340 NODE_146, whole genome shotgun sequence.